rnacentral:rRNA from 1 species
GUAGGUGGCAAGCGUUGUCCGGAAUUAUUGGGCGUAAAGCGCGCGCAGGCGGUUCGUUUAAGUCUGAUGUGAAAGCCCACGGGCUCAACCGUGGAGGGUCAUUGGAAACUGGAGAACUUGAGUACAGAAGAGGAAAGCGGAAUUCCACGUGUAGCGGUGAAAUGCGUAGAGAUGUGGAGGAACACCAGUGGCGAAGGCGGCGUUUCUGGUCUGUAACUGACGCUGAGGCGCGAAAGCGUGGGGAGCAAACAGGAUUAGAUACCCUGGUAGUCCACGCCGUAAACGAUGAGUGCUAAGUGUUAGGGGGUUUCCGCCCCUUAGUGCUGCAGCUAACGCAUUAAGCACUCCGCCUGGGGAGUACGGCCGCAAGGCUG